rnacentral:tRNA from 3 species
AUCACCUUGGCAGAUGAAUGUAUUGGAUUUAGGAUCCUUUUAUAUAGUGGAAUACUAUAGGUGAUG